GGGGAUGUCUCUGGAUUUGAUAAAGGGACUUCAUAAUUAAUGAUAGCCACUCCUCGAUGAUUCUAGAGGUAAAUUACGGAUCGAAAAAAAGUGCAAACAAAACACUUGCUAGAGCUUUCGCUCUCGUUCCUGCAUACGCUGCGUAAGCGCGUUUCUUGAAUGUACCAUCCUGGAUACAGACUCCUUCUAUGUACCAGGUCGACCAAGAAGGAAACCAUUAUGUUGUGAGGACGAAAUGUUCGCCUGUCUAUCGGCUAAAACUCGCCUGUACUCAUAACUCGAAAAAUUAUAGGCCUAUAGAUAACAUAUAGUGGUAGAAAUUAUUAGUUAUGCCUUUUAGACACGGGUUCGAAUCCCGUCAUCUCCAAAU
rnacentral:tmRNA from 1 species